UCCUGGUGGUUCAGAUGGUUAAGAAUCUGCCUGCAAUGCAGGAGACCUGGGUUCGAUCCCUGGGUCAGGAA
rnacentral:tRNA from 1 species